UAAAGGACAAGUUACUAUUAAAACUUUAAACCAACGAUCCAUAUUGAUUUACUAUUAUAAUUUCAACCAACUGUCUGAAAAAUUAUCACAUCUUCUCAUGGAAUAAUAUUGUACUAAAAAAUGAUUUGGACCGAAAAAAAUAUAUUUUUCAGGUGAAUAGUACCCCGUGAAUAGUACCUCGACAUGAAAAGUGUCCCAAAUACCCGAGUGAAUAAUACUAGAGUGAAUAGUAACUAGGUGAAUAGUAACCCGUGAAUAGUAACCAGUGAAUAGUACUCCAACACGAAAAGUGCCUCGAAUACCCGAGUGGUCAAUAUAACCUCCAGACAUCAAUUAUUAUCGAAAUAAAUAUUGAUUUCUACUAACACUAAUAAUUUCCACAAAAUGGAACUAUCAAUUUCAUCUUUAAUUAACACAAACUUAUUCAUCAUUAAUAUUAUAAUUCACAAUAUUUAAC
rnacentral:lncRNA from 1 species